GUUCCUUGUUUGUGAAGAGCGAUGAUCUCUUCUCUUAACUUUGUGGACCAUUCUUUUGACUUAGCAAACUAACAUGCAGUAAAACGUGACACUCAAUACACCCUAGCCAGUUCAGGCAUUUUAAGUGUUCCAGCACAAGCACACCUGGUGUAGCUAAUGUAGCCCUUGAGUAGUUGCAUCAGGUGUGCUUGAGACAACAUUAUCUCCACUUGGAUCAAAAUGAAAAAAUAGAAGGAUUUAAUAAUUGUCUUGCGUUACCUCGAAAAAUGUUCCAGAACUGCUGAACACUGCUGGAGAAAGUCUCUGCACCCGACUUCCUCUACUUUAAAUUUAUGCUGCGCUCCUACAGUCUGGCUCUUUCCUCUUCAAAAUAAAAUUUACUUCAAUACAGAACUUCAGGUCUUCUCUCCCUCAAGUGUUGCUACUACCUUGUCUGUGUCCCUCAAAGUCAAUGGCGCUACAUAGUUACAUAGCUGAAAAGAGACAUGC